GGGUCAUUAGCUCAGCUGGUUAGAGCACUCGGCUCAUAACCGAGUGGUCGGAGGUUCGAGUCCUCCAUGACCCACCA
rnacentral:tRNA from 7 species